AGUUAUAUGCUUAAAUUCAGGGGGUAAUCUUACUAAGCUGAGAUCCGAUUGUAGAACACUCAUAUACACAUUCUCACUCAGUCAAACAUGGGGUUCAACUGAGAGAUAGGGUGCGAGGCACACAGGUACCCAGGCAGGGCUAAGUAGGCUGCUCAUAAUCUAACUGGGAGCCACACAUCAUCCUAACGUACAUGUAGUACAUUUACCAAAUGUCAGCUUCCUGUCAAGAAGAGAGAGACUGUAACUCGGCUCUAGACCCGGGGGCAGUGCGCAAGUUGUCCUCAGUGACAGUAAAGUCAGGACCACUCACUUCAGUGGAGCUGGAUAUACACACCCUAGGGGUAUGUUCUUCCAGCAACACCAUAUUCAGACACUCUGUGAGGUCUAGUUGGGUUCACGGACACUCAACCAAGCAUACUACCAGGUACAUUCCCGGUAAUGCAAUGUGCGUUCAAAAUUUUGAUGAUUCCGAAAUCGUGCAAUUCAUAUUACAUAUCGCAUUUCGCUGCGUUCUUCAUCGUUGUAGGAGCCAAGAAAUCCAUUGCUGAAAGUUGUAUUACAUUAGUAAUGAUAGAGAUAGGGGAACAGGGACACAGGCUGGUAUGCCAGGUACCCCGUCCCGCACCUAUUUCCUUUGAUUUCUGGUUUAUUUUGUAUCUAAUUUCAGUAGUGGGGUCGGCAGGUUGCAUGUACUAGCCAUGUGAGUUCAACAAGAUGUACAAGUUAGUACUCACAGGCCUAUACACACAGAGAACCACCUUUCAGUAAAAAGUUUUAUAUCAUAGGGUCGCAGGAGGUGGUGAACUCGACACGACAUGACAUGGGUCAGUCUACAGCCAGAGUCUACCACCAACCAUGCUAUUUCUCGGGAGUUGAGAUCUUAGAUCGGUGUGGUAAUGAUCCUUCCGCAGGUUCACCUACGGAAACCUUGUUACGACUUCACCUUCCUCUAAGUGAUAAGGUUCGGACAAGUUCUCGCGGUGAGUUUCCAAUAAAGGAAGCUAACUACAAUCCCGAGGCCUCACCGGAACACUCAAUCGGUAGGUGCGACGGGCGGUGUGUACAAAGGGCAGGGACGUAAUCAAUGCAGAUUGAUGAUCUGCGUUUACUAGGAAUUCCUCGUUCACGAUUAAAAGUUGCAAUAAUCGAUCCCUAUCACGAUGCACAUUACAAGAUUGCCCAGGCCUCUCGGCCAAGGUUAUAAGCUCGUUGAAUGCAUCAGUGUAACACGCGUGCGGUUCAGAACAUCUAAGGGCAUCACAGACCUGUUAUUGCCUCAAUCUUCCUAAAGUUUGAUACUUUAUGUCCCUCUAAGAAACAGCCGCCAAUGAAAGAUCAUUAACGCUAUUAUUUAGCAGGCUGAGGUCUCGUUCGUUAACGGAAUUAACCAGACAAAUCACUCCACCAACUAAGAACGGCCAUGCACCACCACCCAUAGAAUCAAGAAAGAGCUCUCAAUCUGUCAAUCCUAACUAUGUCUGGACCUGAUAAGUUUUCCCGUGUUGGGUCAAAUUAAGCCGCAGGUUCCACUCCUGGUGGUGCCCUUCCGUCAAUUUCUUUAAGUUUCAGCCUUGCGACCAUACUCCCCCCGGAACCCAAAGACUUUGAUUUCUCAUACAGUGCAGACGAGGACAAAUGUCACCCGCCCAUCCUGAGUCGGCAUAGUUUAUGGUGUAGACUACGACGGUAUCUAAUCAUCUUCGAUCCCCACACUUUCGUUCUUGAUCAAUGAAAACAUCCCUGGUAAAUGCUUUCGCAGUAGUUCGUCUUCCGUUAAUCUAAGAAUUUCACCUCUUACAACUGAAUACGAAUACCCACAACUGUCCCUAUUCAUCAUUACCACGGCGCGCAAACCAACAAAAUAGCACUGUGGUCCUAUCUUAUUAUUCCAUGCUAAUAUGUUCAACGACAUAAGUCUGCUUUGAACACUCCAAUUAACUCACAGUAAAUGAUGGGAAUCCCCAGCCCGACAACUCAAUGCCAGACAGGCUCCUCCCAAGGAUGGCCGGAGAGAGCAAGUACCCACCUUAAAGGUCGGACCGCACUCUCCCACCAGAAAUUCGACUACGAGCUUUUUAACUGCAACAACUAAAAUAUACGCUAUUGGAGCUGGAAUUACCGCGGCUGCUGGCACCAGACUUGCCCUCCAAUUGAUCCUCGAUAAGGGAUUUAAAUUGUUCUCAUUCCAAUUGCCAGACCUCGAAAGAGGCCCGGCAUUGUUAUUUAUUGUCACUACCUCUCUGUGUCAGAAUUGGGUAAUUUACGCGCCUGCUGCCUUCCUUGGAUGUGGUGGCCAUCUCUCAGGCCCCCUCUCCGGAAUCAAACCCUAAUCUCCCGUUACCCGUUAUCGCCAUGGUAGACCAAUACUCUACCAUCAGAGCUGAUAGGGCAGAAACUUGAAUGAUCCAUCGCCGGCAGAGCCAUGCGAUUCGCAAAGUUAUUAUGAAUCACCAGUACGCCACCGAGGUGGGUUGGUUUAUAUCUAAUAAAUACUAUCCUUCCCGAGAGUUGGAUAUUGAUGCACGUAUUAGCUCUAGAAUUACUACAGGUAUCCGAGUAGUAAGGGAUUAUCAAAUAAACUAUAACUGAUAUAAUGAGCCAUUCGCAGCUUCGAAGUAUUAAUACUUAUACUUAGACAUGCAUGGCUUAAUCUUUGAGACGAGCGUAUGACUUCUGGCAGAAUCAACCAGGUUGCUAUCUUCAAAAACUCAUUCUCCGGUUCAAUACUGAAGUCGGUGAACCAGAAAGAGUACCUACAGGAGGUCCUCUCUAAGGGUGAUUUCACACAUACAAAUGUAUCAAGACAUGGGGAAGUGGGUUCCAUCAGAUGAGGAGAUACGCACAGGACACCCACCCGUGAUAGGGCAGGACGACCAGGCAUACCAUCAACCAUCAAUUCUUCAUUGUCCCCUUUGAUCGCAAUUCUAGGCACCAGAUCGUACAGUCUCCUUUCGGGCCAAGUAAUAUGACCUUGGGGGUUUGUACAACUAGGAUUCAGACCUACGAAGGACGGUGGUUGGCUGAUUAGGUAGCGCCUUAGCAGCUCCAUGUAUCAACUACCUCUCCGCCCAAGUUUUUUGUGAACUAUCACUUCGCAACAUGCGUAGCAACAAAUCAACACUCUCCUUAUGGAUCGCACACGAUAGGUAAGUAUCGCGUAGACCCAAGUUUGAGAUACAGCAAAAGCUGUGUAAUACAUCUCUGAUAUGGUGCGGGUACAGCCGCGGCGACACUCGGGUGUGUGUGUCUCCGACGGAGCAUCCUCGCGCCUUGUGUCAAGAAUUUAGUAUGUUU
rnacentral:rRNA from 1 species